GGCUACCUUUGCUCUGCAAGAGAAGAAAACAGUGCCUACACAUGCCUAUAGAAAAGUGUCAUUGAGGAUAUUCCCAGGUAAGAAGGUAUAGGGUUGUAGCUUUAGAACACAAAUAAUCUGCAUUUAAAUGUAUGUGGUCAGGGGAAUGUGGUAGUAAUAUAUGUCCCAGUUAGAAAGAAUGGUUGACAUGAUCUUUCAGGUAUCCUGGUCCCAAGCUGUAUAGGGUUUUAUAUGCCAAAACUAGCACUUUGAACUUAGCCUGGUAGCUAAUAUUAGGCUGUGCAGUGUUUGGGUUUAAUUUAGGAAUACAGUAUUGUAUUUAGGAAUACAGUUUGAUUUAGCAAUACAGUGUUGUAUUCCCACAACUCAGUGAGUGUGGAUUUGGGUCCUUGGCAGAAAGAUAGUGUGGCAAUUACUAAUUUCUCAUCCUUCCCCUGCCCUACAGUUUCAUGCAGACGGAUCCUAUGCCUAUUUACUCAGAAGUAAGUCUCACUGUGUUCAGUCGGGCCUACACCCUUGUAAGUAUGUACAAGAAGAUUGCCCUUGCAAGACUUUGCCUGAGUACAGCUGCACAGUUCAAGUCUCUUGCACUAGGGCAAUCUGGAAAUACUGAAACUGUGCCAAUACAGGAGCAUCUAUGCAUAAUCUUAUUUAUUUUGAGCUCUCUUUGGCAGGAGAUAGAAUUACUCUCUUUUAAAAGUUAUAAUUGCAUAAACAGAACAGCUCCUGCUGAAAGCCAGUGAAUGUUUAACAUUAGUGAGGUUUUGUGCCUUUAAAAAAAUCUCUUUCUGAACUUGUUAUUGCAGAGAAAUUAAAUAUUCAAAGCCUUGGGUGGGAAGCGUGUGUGAAGAGAAGCCUUCACGAAACUCAUGCAUUAUGUAUAUGGGAGGGGAUUCCCUCUUUCUGAAUAUGUAUUUCAGAUUCUGGCAAUCGGCUAAGUAAAAUCACUUCUUUCCAUGGUAGUGAGUAUUUUUAACUUCUCUUGGAGAGAGAAAAAGCAACUCCCUCAAGAUGCCAGUGGGGGGGGGGGAGUACUAGCUUUUACAGAAAUUAGGCUAGUCUUCUGUCAUCCUGAAUAUUUCCAGAAACCUGUGAGUUUAGAAAAAAAGAUUUCCUAGGGUCACGCUUCAAUACUGGGGUGAAGGGUAAGCAUUUAGGAAGUGUGAAAAAAUACCCUGCAGGUAGCUAAGUUUCCAGUACAGUGCCAUCUAAUUAUUUUCCCUUCUGAAACUUUAGCAGUUUUAGGAAAUUGUGUGAUCUGUGGUCUUUCAGGAAUGCAGAAGGGAGUUUAAAAAGUCUCUCCUGAAGGAUUCUCCCCAACAACUCAAAGGAGGUGUCUACAUUCAGUCCUGAAUUGACAACCUGACCCCAUUUUAAGGUUUUGGAAUGUACAGUAAUAUGUCACGGAGAGACUAGUUACAUUCCCAUGAAUCGCCUUCUUAAAUGAAAUGCCAAAUUCUAACACCUUGUCGUUUCUCUGUUUCCUUAAACUUACAUUCAUUUGCAUACGCCCGCCUCUCAUGAGAUCGCAUGUGGACAGUAUCUUAUGCUUCUUCCGUUUCUUUAUAGUUAAAGAUGGCAAAGGCCUAGUCGUAGCUGCCCUACUGUAGCUGCCCUUUCUUCUUGGCUGGAGUUUUCUGCUGGGAAAUCUGAAACAAUAAAUUGCAGGCUUGUGAACCAGGUCUCCAGCUAGCUCCUGGGCUAAAGGUUGUGCAAAACAGCACUUCUGCUUCGUUAUAUGAUAACCAGUUGAUACUGAUGUCUUAGGUCCCUUCCAUAACAUACAUUUAACACACUGUUUUGCUGCUACCCACCCACAGGAAUCCCAGGAACUGUAAAGUACUGGGAACUGUAGUUCUGUGAGGAAGCUCCUAACAACUACGUACUAUGAUUCCCAGAAUUCUUUGGGGGAGGCCAUGAUUGUUAAAGUGGUAUAAGAGUGCUUUAAACAUACAAUGUGGAUGUGACCUUUGUGCUCCCCAGCUCCCCCAGCUGAUAAUAGAUUUGAAGCAUCUUAAGUGAGGAGCAUCCUCUUAAUAUCCCUGAACUUUUAACAUUUCUUAACCAAGGCUGGAUCUAGACACCUCAAACAAGUGUUUCAGUUAAACGUGCUAUAAAUUUAAACAGGGAAAACAGGUAGAGAAAAACAGGAGUCCACAUCACCAUCUGGUGGCAUAAUGUUAUAUUGCAUAUGCAACACAUAUAAAUCGCUUUUUCUUUACCAAUCUAGCUGAGUCCCAAGCUGUCCUACAUUUUCCCGCAUAAUGAUUGUAAAACAGCAACAAGAACGUAAGAAUGCUGGCGUACCCCGCCCGUUGGUCUGAACCUUUUGCUUUUACUUAUUUAAAGCAAGGAUUACGGAGAGACAGCUAACCAGCAUCGCAUUUGCCAACAAACAUGAACACACAGUUUCUGUGAACUAAACUCCCUGCGGAAGUGUGAUGGAUCAUGAGGUUUCCAUUUUUUGGAAGACUGCUGCUUCUCAUUAUCAAAUCUCUGUGAUCUCUAGUUUUCUGGAGAUCUCUCUAGGGUAGUGUAUAAUGUUCUUCCUCCAUUUCUAUUGAGACAAGCAGCUGUUUUACGGGAGGACAAGCUCCUCCUGGAAGAGGAACGUUAAUUUGCUUUGCUGGGGACGACUGCUGGUGAAAGACUGACAUCACCCUCCCCCUUUAACUAGAAAACAAAUCCCAAAAAUGCAAUAAUCUGCAUAACAUUCCCAUGUUGUUUUCUUCCAAGAAACUGCAGCAGCUCCUUAUAUGCAGUGCACAUGUAACACCAAACACCAAACCAAAGCAGGGAGUCCAGCGCUUCAAUCAAUAUUCCAUUUUUUGUCGCUGGAGCACAAGCAAUAACCAAACUGGUCCCCUAGGGAAUCACGUAGCUCUGAAACCUGCUGCCACAAGUGGUGGUGAUAGCUGCUAGCUUAGAUGGUUUUAAGAGGGGAAUAGCCAACUUAACUGAGAAUAGCUCUAUCCAUGGCUGUUGGCCGUGGUUAUUAUAUUGAUACUAUAGAUUGGUAUGGUAGCAUGCAAUGGAAUACAAGCUGCUGGGAAGCAGCAGUGAGAGAGCACUAUUGCUUGUAGGCUUACCGGACUUCUGUUUAUACCCUGAUUGGCCACUCUGGGAGGCAGGAACCUGGGCUAGAGGCACCUUUGGUCUCAGCUAGCAGGGUUUUUCCUAUGGUUUAGUUGCUAAAAGUCCCCCUUUCAAAAUCUUUAAAAUAUUGGUAGCCUUAGACUAGGUCACAAGGUCAGCCCAUACAAAGCUGUACCGCAGUUUGAGAUCCAGACAUCCCUUGGAAAGUAGUGAAUGGACAGAAUAAACUUGAGAUAUCCGUAAGAAGCAUUUUCAUUUGCAUAAUAAUAAUAAUAAUAAUAAUAAUAAUUUAUACCCCGCCCAUCUGGCUGGGUUUCCCCAGCCACUCUGGGCAGCAUUGACAAAACAUAGGAAUCCACCAGUGAUGUUUGGUCAGUGGACUAGAAGGACUAGGCUAGUCCCCUAAAUGUUCCCCUGGCGCCUCCUUCCCAAAGCCCAGGAAGCUUCUGUCUGGCUUAGGGAGGGAGGCGUGAUGCUUAUGCACAUGACGUCAAACACACACACACACACCUGCAUCACCCUCACAAGUUGGCAUUUCUGACCCUAACUGUUCCUCAAUGAAAAAUUUCAACACACACCUCUGGAAUCCAUAGGAAUUAGUUUAGCACAGUGAUUGUCUAAAAAUUGUACCAGGUUGGUUCAUUAGUCGCUGUGGCUACUGUGGUGCAGGGUAUAAGUCACAGCCACACUAUGCAUUUAACACAUUCUUAUAUCACUUUAACAGUCAUGACUUGCCCCGAAGAACCCCGGGAUCUGUAGUUUUAAAGGGGGCUCUUUGAGGGACAAACUACAGUUCUCUGGAUUCUUUGGGGGAAGCGAUGUGCUGUUGUUGUUGCUUAGUCAUUUAGUCAUGUCCGACUCUUCAUGACCCCAUGGACCAGAGCACGCCAUGUGCUAUAAAUGUGUUUAAAAUGUGUGGUGUUUGAAAACUGUAGUUUGUUAUGGUUGCUGGGAACUGAAAUUCUGCGUGGGGUCUCAUAACAACUCUUAAGCUACAGUUCCCAGUAUUCCAGGAAGCCAUGGCUGUUAAAAUGGUAUGAAUGCUUUAAAUGUGUAAUAUGGAUGUCAACAUAGUUUCCCAUGCAUAGUUUCCCAUGCAGAACUGAGAAUUUCACAUAUGCAUGUAACACGGAAAAUUGUGCGGUUUUUUUAAUCACUAAAAACUGGCAACCAUUUACAGUAGGCACUAAUGUGUAAGAAUUCUACUAAUCCACAGCCCUUGUUAAAUAAACUUGAGUUUGCACUGUGGCGCUCUAAGGUGAAUUUUCUGUUACAAGAUUGCCUGGAGAAACUGGAGAACUGGAUUCUGAGAGCACAAUAAGGUGUCUCUGCUGAUGAGAAUGCUCCAGCAUACUUUGACCUCCUAAAAGUCCAUGAUAAGAUGUGGUUAGCAAAUAGUGGCAUACAUCUGUUUAAAUGGAAACUGGAGGAACCAUUUUGGAGUGAGAUGAGUUCGGGGGACCUGUUCUUCCCAGGAACAGCCACAUCCUAAUUCUUAAGCAUAAUAAAGACCAUGGAAUGCCUUUCCCCCAGGAGUAGGUUUAAUUCAAUACCCUAUAAAGCUUGUUAUGUAUUCUAUUCACUCCUCAGAGAAGUAUCAUGAGGGUUAAUUAUUUUCCUGCUCUGACUCACAGUGAUUCUUGUGCCAGAGGAUUCUGGCAGGGAGUGUAAUCCUAGUGAUACCCCCAGUAAGGAAGCCAUUGUUAGCAGUGCUCACGAAGAAGCGCUAAUGGACCCUGCUGCAGAAGCUAAGAGCUUUGGCUCAAAGAUUAAAGGAGAGGCAGGGGCCUAGAAACCUUAAGACCAUGGCACUGCCCUUAAUAAAUUCUCACCACAAAUAGCUUUUUAGUAGCAAACAGCAGACAAUGCAAUUUCUCUCAUGGGGCCGAGCUGCUUUGGUAAAAGGGAAAGCAUACAUUAUUGAAGCUAGUGCUGGAAGCUGUUUGCUGCAUCAAGAGCACUAUAGAGACUGAAUCUUAGGUCAAAUCUAAAAAUGGUAUGUGCGUUUGAGUGCCAGACGCUGGGAACAGAAAGACUGACUCUUUCCACCAUGACCUGUGAGCUUCUCUGAUCAACGUUGGCUAGCCUGUAAUGUUAGUAAGCUGCCUUGUCCUGGAUGAUUGGUUUAUCCAGUUUACACUUGGGCUGGGGAAUCUGCGGUCCUCCAGAUGUUGUUGGACCACAACUGUUGCUCAUGAUAGCAGGGGUUGAUUGGAGUCGGGAGUCCACCAACUUCUGGAGGGCAACAAGUGUCCCAUCCCUGAUUUGCAUGUGCAAACGGUGGUCCUUCAGGUUCUCAGGCAAGAGUCUUUCCCAGCCCUAUACCUAAAUUGCCAGGGAUUGAACACGGAACCUUUUACAUGCAAAACAUGCACUCUCCUACUAAGCUAUGGCCUUUCCCACAAAUCCUAGAUUAGCUAUGUUUUUGUUCUGAUUCUGCAAACCACUCCUGGUGUUCAUAUAUUCCCAUCCUGGUGAAACCAGUGCAGUCUGUUUCUAGGUAUAUCAAGAGUAGUUUUAUUUUUCAUGCUAAUGAGACUGUUAGUACAAGGACACAUCCUGCCCAACAUGCAAUAAUAUUUUGUUAGUUUCAGCUGUCAUGUCUUCAUAGUUGUUCAGCCUUUACUUUGGUCUGAAGUUCUAGUUGUUUGUGGUUCUCUUUGUUCCAGGUAAAUAAUUGUUGAUGAUCCUUUUGGUCCCUUCCAACUCUACAAUUAUGUGAUUAUGUGGUCUUUUUUUUUUCAAAGGAUCAGGUAGUAGGGAAAGGAAAAUACCUCUGCCAGAGACCCAGGAGAGCUAUUGCCAGUCAUACUGGGCUAGAUGAACAAACCUGGUGUAGGGCAGCCUCCUAUGGUCUUAAAAUUUUAAUAGUAGUAGGAACCACGGUAACAUAAUUCUUAAGUCCCAGAACUGAAAAUCCCUGUAUGUGCCUUUAAAAGGAUUUUAGAGAGCAUUUAGUUCUGCAUUACCAGAAUGUGGUGCAUCCUUUGUUUUUCCCAAUCCCACCACAAUGAGACUUUUGUCAGUUUUGCAAACAGAUAACGUGUUCUUCUUGGCUCUAUUUCCUACCAUUUGUGGCUAAGCUCCUAUGGUUAGAAGUGUCUAGCAGCUGCAAAAUACAUCUAAAAACUGUAUCACUAUUUGUCAACAGCAGCUAUCAUUGGAUACAGUACAGCUCUACAGUGCUAGAUAAGAAGGCUCUGUGCGUGUGUGCGUGCCCGUGUGUGUGUGCGUGCGUGCAUGCAUGAACAAAUGAAUGUGUUAUUUGUAUGGUGUAAAUAGUAAGAGAGGUUUGAAAGAUUUCCAUUUUUUGUUCUGUGGACAGAGGAACAGAAGACAAUAUUUAUGUAUGCUACAACAGCCGCCAGAAUACUGUUAACCCAAAGAUGAAAUGAAGAAAAGAUACCAAUGAAAGAAGAAUGGCAGAUCAAGCUAAUGGACUAUGCAGAAAUGGCAAAAUUAACGGCAAAACUCAGAGGCUACAAUAAAUGAGAAAUUUAAAAAAGAGUGAGAAUUGUUUAUUGUUUAUGUGCAAAAAUACAGUAAGCAAGUUGAUACAUUGGCAGGCUUUUAAGUAAACGCUUGCAACUAGUAGAAAAUUAGAUAAAAUUAAGGGAAAUAAUCAUGGACAAAGUUUAAGAAUGGAUAUGCGGAAGAAAUUGGUUAAUAUAAGGAACCAGAAGAGGGUAUGGAGGGAAGUCCAGAGAUUUAAAGAAUCUCAAAGAGGAGGUUUGAAAAAAGGCAUUUGUUUUUAUUUGUAAAAAGGUAACUGUGA